GUUCCCGGCGCAGCCCCGGCCCGGCGCGCGCGGGGGGGAGGAGCUGCGGCGGCCGCGGCCACGGCCACUCGGGCAGGUCGGCGGCGCCGCGGGAACCCGCCGACGGCGCGGACUGCUGGUCCCCGCGCGCAGGAGGCGCGGGCGGCCCUGGGGCCAUGGAGCCUGGUGACGCGGCGCGCCUCGGCCGGGGCCGGGCGGCCCGGGCGCUGCCACCGCGGCUGCUGCUGCUGCCGCUGCUGCCGCUGCUGCUGGGUCGGGGGCUGCGCGCCGCGGCCUCGGCCUCCUCCUCUGGGGCGGCGGCCGAGGACAGCAGCGCCAUGGAGGAGCUCGCCACUGAGAAGGAGGCGGAGGAGAGCCACCGGCAAGACAGCGUGAGCCUGCUCACCUUCAUCCUGCUGCUCACGCUCACCAUCCUCACCAUCUGGCUCUUCAAGCACCGCCGGGUGCGCUUCCUGCACGAGACCGGGCUGGCCAUGAUCUACGGGCUCAUCGUGGGCGUGAUCCUGAGGUAUGGCACCCCCGCCACUGGUGGUCAUGACAAGUCAGUGAGCUGUACUCAGGAAGACAGGGCCUUCAGCACCUUAUUAGUGAACGUCAGUGGGAAGUUCUUCGAAUACACCCUGAAAGGAGAAAUCAGCCCUGGCAAGAUCAACAGCGUAGAGCAGAAUGACAUAUUGAGGAAGGUAACGUUUGAUCCAGAGGUCUUUUUCAACAUUCUCCUGCCUCCGAUUAUUUUCCAUGCCGGCUACAGUUUAAAGAAGAGACACUUUUUCAGAAAUCUCGGGUCUAUUCUGGCUUAUGCUUUCUUGGGGACUGCCGUUUCCUGCUUCAUUAUUGGGAAUCUCAUGUACGGUGUAGUGAAGCUCAUGAAAGUCGUGGGGCAGCUCUCGGAUAAGUUUUACUACACAGACUGUCUCUUUUUCGGAGCCAUCAUCUCUGCCACUGACCCAGUGACCGUACUGGCGAUAUUUAACGAACUGCACGCAGACGUGGACCUCUACGCACUCCUGUUUGGAGAAAGCGUCCUCAAUGAUGCUGUUGCCAUUGUCCUGUCCUCGUCUAUCGUUGCCUACCAGCCAGCGGGGCUGAACACUCAUGCCUUUGAUGCUGCUGCCUUUUUUAAAUCGGUGGGCAUCUUCCUAGGUAUAUUCAGUGGCUCUUUUACCAUGGGAGCCGUAACUGGCGUCGUGACGGCUCUAAUAUCCAAAUUCACCAAGCUGCACUGCUUCCCCCUCCUGGAGACGGCACUCUUCUUCCUGAUGUCCUGGAGCACGUUCCUUUUGGCGGAAGCCUGUGGCUUUACAGGCGUUGUGGCUGUCCUUUUCUGUGGCAUCACACAGGCUCAUUACACCUACAACAAUCUGUCGGUGGAAUCAAGAAGUCGAACGAAGCAGCUCUUUGAGGUGUUACACUUCCUGGCAGAGAACUUCAUCUUCUCCUACAUGGGCCUGGCUCUCUUUACCUUCCAGAAGCAUGUCUUCAGCCCCGUUUUCAUCAUUGGAGCUUUUGUUGCCAUCUUCCUGGGCCGAGCUGCACACAUCUACCCGCUCUCCUUCUUCCUCAACUUGGGCAGAAGGCAUAAGAUUGGCUGGAACUUUCAACACAUGAUGAUGUUUUCAGGCCUCAGGGGCGCGAUGGCAUUUGCGCUGGCCAUCCGCGACACGGCAUCCUACGCUCGCCAGAUGAUGUUCACGACCACCCUCCUCAUCGUCUUCUUCACUGUCUGGAUCAUUGGCGGAGGCACAACACCCAUGCUGUCGUGGCUUAACAUAAGAGUUGGCGUCGAGGAGCCCUCCGAAGAGGACCAGAACGAACGCCGCUCACAGUACUUCAGAGUCGGUGUUGACCCAGAUCAAGACCCACCACCCAACAACGACAGCUUUCAAGUCUUACAAGGGGAUGGUCCGGAUUCUGCCAGAGGGAACCGGACGAAGCAGGAGAGUGCGUGGCUCUUCAGGCUGUGGUACAGCUUUGACCACAAGUAUCCUUUUCAGUGACCUCCCUGUACUCGUGAAACAGCGGUGAUGAAAUUCUCUUGUUGAGUCAUCCGUGAACAACUUCUGACGAAAAAUAAGAAACAAUCCUAAACUUUGUAUGGAACCACAAAAUACUGUGAAUAGCUAACGCAAUCUAGGGCAAAAUGAACGGAGCUGAGGUGCCACACUUCGUGAUUUCAAAUUAUAUUACAAAGGCAUUGUAAUCAAAAUGGUAUUAGCAUUAAAACAGAUAUACAGGGGCACCUGGGUGGCUCAGUCGGUUAAGCAUCCAACUACGGCUCAGGUCAUGAUUUCCUGGUCUGUGAGUUUGAGCCCCAUGCCGAGCUCUGUACUGACAACUCAGAGCCUGGAGCCUAGAUUCUGUGUCUCCCUCUCUCUCUCUGCUCCUCCCCACUCGCACUCUUUCUCUCUCUCCAAAAUAAAUGAACGUUAAAAAAUAAAAACAGAUCUACAGACCAGUGGAACAGAAGAGGGAGCCCAGAAACAUACCCUCACAUAUUGGAUCGACUAAUCUUCAACCAAGGCGCUGAGAAUAUGUAAUAGGGAAGGGGCAGUCUCCUUGAUAAAUGGUGUCAGGAAAACUGGAUAUCCACAUGCAAUAGAAUGAAACUGGAACUUAUCUUGCACCACUCACAAAAAGGAACUCAAAAUGUUUAAAGACUUAAGUGCAAGACCUGGAACCAUAACACUCCUAGAACAAAAAAACACAGGGGAAAGCUCCUUGACAUUGGUCUUGACAGUGCGUUUUUGGACUUUACUCCACAAGCGUAGGCAGCAGAAGCAAAAAUAGACAAAUGGGACUACAUCAAACGAGAAGAUUUCUGCACAGCAUGGGAAACCAUCCAUAGUAUGAGAAGACAACCUGUAUAAUGGAAGAAAAUAUUUGCAAUCCAUGUAUCUGAUAAGGGGUUAAUAUUCAAAAUAUAUAAGGAGUUCCUAUAACUCAACAGCCAAAAUCCAAAUACCCCAAUUCAAAGAGGGGCAAAGGACCUGAAUAGACAUUUUUCCAAAGAAGACAUACACUUGGCCAACAGAUAUGUGAAAAGUUGCUCAACAUCACUCAUCACCAGGGAAAUGCAUAUCAAAACCACAAUGAGAUCUCUCCUCACAUCUGUUAGGAUGGCUGUUAUCAAAAUGGGAAAAAAAUAACAAGCCAAGUUGGGAGGAUGUGGAGAAAAGGAGACCCUUCUACACUGUCGAUGGGAUGUAAAUUGGUGCACCCACGGUGGAAAAACAGUAUGGAGGUUCCUCAAAAAAUUAGAAAUCCGCACUCCCAUGUUCACAGCAACACUAUUCACAGUAAUGAAGAUAAUGGCAACAACUUGAGUGUUACUAACACUGUAUCGUAUGCUGGAAAUUUUAACAUUUUCUGAGAGGGUAGAUCUUAAGCGUUUGCACCACACAUAGCCAGAAAGAUGGUAACAUGUGAAGUGAUGGAUAUGUUAAUUAGCUUGAUUGUAGCAAUCAUUUCACAAUAUACACAUAUCUAAACAUCUUGUACACCUUUCAUGUGUUCAGUGUUUGUCAGUCGUACUUCAGUGAAGCUGAGUGCGGAAGAAACUGACUCUUUGCAGGGCAACAGGAGUGAUCUCUGAAGUCUCUGAAUGUAAAGUUUAGUGACUGGGAUUUCUACUUGUUUAGUUUGGAGGUGGGAGACCAAGAACGGAAAGCGUCUGAGGAAUUAUACCAGGAAGGUGCCCACGAUUCAUUCUAUAGCUCCAGAGAUGAUUAAAUGAGAAGACUUGGCUUUGGCUACAACAGAAGAGGAUCCAGCUGGGCGGGAAUGGUCCCCACAAGCCGGCAAGAGGAAGCGUGGUACCUCCUUCCCGGAACAAGCCUGAAAAUGGAAUCGAUGGCCUUCCGAUGUAAGAGGAGAGGCUCGGUGCGCACAUACAGCUCUCCUGGGGCUCCUGGAAAUCACAGAAGAGAUAUUCGUGACUGCUUGCAAGACCAAAGCUGUAGUUUUCUCUGCUCCGACUCCAUCUGUCUUCGAGUCUUGACCAGUACUUUCUGUGCCAGCAGAUCGGCUGAUAGCUGUUAAUUUUCUCCUCGGGCCAUAGCUCUCUAAAGAAAGGAGAGCUACUGCCUGGGGAGGGAUUGGUAGAGAAACAGAUCUUGAGGCCACCGAAGAUUUUUCUCCCUAGAGUAACCUCCCCACCAUCCAACUUUGGAGUGGUAGACUUCCGCACCUGCUUGAUGAACUGAGAAACUGAGUAAAGACAUGGGAGGGGGGCACGCCAAAGUAAUUAAUUCCGUGUGUGUGUGUGUGUGUGUGUGUGUGUGUGUGUACUUCCAUAUGUAUAUUUUCUCACCAAGUAAACUCUAUGCCCAAUGCAGGGCUCAAACUCAUGACCCUGAGAUCAAGAGUUGCAUGCCCUACCGACUGAGCCAGCCAGGCACCCUACCAGAUAUUUAUUUUUUAAUUUUUCUUUUUAAAAUUUUUUUAAUGUUUGUUUAUUUAUUUUUGAGAGAGAGAGAACGCAAGCUGGGAAGGGGCAGAGAGAGAAUCCCAAGCAGGCUCCAAGCUGUCAGCGCAGAGCCCGAAGCAGGGCUUGAACCCACCAACCGUGAGAUCGUGAUCUGAGCCCAAAUCAAGAGCCAGACACUUAACCAACUGAGCCACCCAGGCACCCCUAUUUUUUUAAUUGUUCUAAUAAAAGCCUUGGAGUCGAGAGGCUUUUCCAGUCACGAUGUAAGAACGGGUUAUUAGGAAAAGCACUCAGCGCACCUGAGUGGCUCAGUAGGUUAAGUGUCUGACUUCUGCUCAGGUCAUGAUCUCGUGGUUCAUGGGUUCGAGCCCCGCAUUGGGCUCUGUGCUGACAGCUCAGAGCCCGGAGCCUGCUUCAGAUUCUGUGUCUUCCUCUCUCCCUCUCUCUCUGCCCCUCCCACUCCCUCACUUGCUCGCUCACUCGCUCUCAAAAAUAAACAAACAUUAAAAAAAUUAAAAAGAAAAAGAAGCACUCAGAUGAGAAGAAGCUCUUAGAAAUUAAAGUUUCUGAAAUGAACCCCAAAAUGUAAUGGAUAGUUUAAUUACAUGGUGGAGACCAAACUGUUGAUCUGGAAGAUGAAGUUGAGGAAGAGAAUCUGUAAGAAUUCAAGCACAAAGUCAGAGAUGUGCAAGAAAGGGUUGCAAGACAGUGAGGUUACAGCCAGAAGGUCCACAGUCCUUGAACAGAAUAUGAAAGGAGAAGACAAGAGACCAUGGAGGAAAAAAAGAAGCAAAGAAAGAAUGAAAGAACAUUCCAAAACUAAGGAGGAAAAGCGGGGCUCUUCAAGGCUUCCAAAGAGAAAAACUGGAAUCCUCUAAAGAGAACGAACCAGGGGCACCUGAGCGGCUCAGUCAGUUAAGCAUCCGACUUCGGUUCAGGUCAUGAUGUCACAGUUUGUGGGUCCAAGCCCCACAUCGGGUUCCAUGCUAACAGUUCAGAACCUGGAGCCUGCUUUGGCUUCUGUGUCUUCCUCUCUCGCUGCCCCUUUCCCACUCACACUUUGUCUGUCUGUCUUUCUCUCUUUCUC